rnacentral:rRNA from 1 species
AGUGAACGCUGGCGGUAGGCCUAACACAUGCAAGUCGAACGGCAGCACAGUAAGAGCUUGCUCUUACGGGUGGCGAGUGGCGGACGGGUGAGGAAUACAUCGGAAUCUACUUUUUCGUGGGGGAUAACGUAGGGAAACUUACGCUAAUACCGCAUACGACCUACGGGUGAAAGCAGGGGAUCUUCGGACCUUGCGCGAUUGAAUGAGCCGAUGUCGGAUUAGCUAGUUGGCGGGGUAAAGGCCCACCAAGGCGACGAUCCGUAGCUGGUCUGAGAGGAUGAUCAGCCACACUGGAACUGGGACACGGUCCAGACUCCUACGGGUGGCAGCAGUGGGGAAUAUUGGACAAUGGGCGCAAGCCUGAUCCAGCCAUACCGCGUGGGUGAAGAAGGCCUUCGGGUUGUAAAGCCCUUUUGUUGGGAAAGAAAAGCAGCAGGUUAAUACCCCGCUGUUCUGACGUUACCCAACGAAUAAGCACCGGCUAACUUCGUG